rnacentral:rRNA from 1 species
CCUACGGGCGGCAGCAGUGAGGAAUAUUGGUCAAUGGACGAGAGUCUGAACCAGCCAAGUAGCGUGAAGGAUGACUGCCCUAUGGGUUGUAAACUUCUUUUAUAUGGGAAUAAAAUGUUCCACGUGUGGGUUUUUGUAUGUACCAUAUGAAUACGGAUCGGCUAACUCCGUGCCAGCAGCCGCGGUAAUACGGAGGAUCCGAGCGUUAUCCGGAUUUAUUGGGUUUAAAGGGAGCGUAGGUGGAUUGUUAAGUUAGUUGUGAAAGUUUGCGGCUCAACCGUAAAAUUGCAGUUGAAACUGGCAGUCUUGAGUACAGUAGAGGUGGGCGGAAUUCGUGGUGUAGCGGUGAAAUGCUUAGAUAUCACGAAGAACUCCGAUUGCGAAGGCAGCUCACUGGACUGCAACUGACACUGAGGCUCGAAAGUGUUGGUAUCAAACAGGAUUAGAUACCCUUGUAGUC